rnacentral:rRNA from 1 species
GGGUUGUGAGGUUAAGCGACUAAGCGUACACGGUGGAUGCCCUGGCAGUCAGAGGCGAUGAAGGGCGUGCUAAUCUGCGAUAAGCGCCGGUAAGGUGAUAUGAACCGUUAUAACCGGCGAUACCCGAAUGGGGAAACCCAGUGUGAUUCGUCACACUAUCAUUAACUGAAUCCAUAGGUUAAUGAGGCGAACCGGGGGAACUGAAACAUCUAAGUACCCCGAGGAAAAGAAAUCAACCGAGAUUCCCCCAGUAGCGGCGAGCGAACGGGGAGGAGCCCAGAGCCUGAAUCAGCAUGUGUGUUAGUGGAAGCGUCUGGAAAGGCGCGCGAUACAGGGUGACAGCCCCGUACACAAAAGCGCAUGUGCUGUGAGCUCGAUGAGUAGGGCGGGACACGUGGUAUCCUGUCUGAAUAUGGGGGGACCAUCCUCCAAGGCUAAAUACUCCUGACUGACCGAUAGUGAACCAGUACCGUGAGGGAAAGGCGAAAAGAACCCCGGCGAGGGGAGUGAAAAAGAACCUGAAACCGUGUACGUACAAGCAGUGGGAGCCCCACCACUAAGCCAGUGGUGAACUCCACAUACGCAUCCUUUGCUGAGGAUACGGUUAACGGAGCGAAAGCGACGUUCAACCGCAAAAGAAGCAGAGGGGGCUUAGUGGUGGGGUGACUGCGUACCUUUUGUAUAAUGGGUCAGCGACUUAUAUUCUGUAGCAAGGUUAACCGUAUAGGGGAGCCGUAGGGAAACCGAGUCUUAACCGGGCGUUAAGUUGCAGGGUAUAGACCCGAAACCCGGUGAUCUAGCCAUGGGCAGGUUGAAGGUUGGGUAACACUAACUGGAGGACCGAACCGACUAAUGUUGAAAAAUUAGCGGAUGACCUGUGGCUGGGGGUGAAAGGCCAAUCAAACCGGGAGAUAGCUGGUUCUCCCCGAAAGCUAUUUAGGUAGCGCCUCGUGAAUUCAUCUCCGGGGGUAGAGCACUGUUUCGGCUAGGGGGCCAUCCCGGCUUACCAACCCGAUGCAAACUGCGAAUACCGGAGAAUGUUAUCACGGGAGACACACGGCGGGUGCUAACGUCCGUCGUGAAGAGGGAAACAACCCAGACCGCCAGCUAAGGUCCCAAAGUCAUGGUUAAGUGGGAAACGAUGUGGGAAGGCCCAGACAGCCAGGAUGUUGGCUUAGAAGCAGCCAUCAUUUAAAGAAAGCGUAAUAGCUCACUGGUCGAGUCGGCCUGCGCGGAAGAUGUAACGGGGCUAAACCAUGCACCGAAGCUGCGGCAGCGACACUCAGGUGUUGUUGGGUAGGGGAGCGUUCUGUAAGCCUGUGAAGGUGGCCUGUGAGGGUUGCUGGAGGUAUCAGAAGUGCGAAUGCUGACAUAAGUAACGAUAAAGCGGGUGAAAAGCCCGCUCGCCGGAAGACCAAGGGUUCCUGUCCAACGUUAAUCGGGGCAGGGUGAGUCGACCCCUAAGGCGAGGCCGAAAGGCGUAGUCGAUGGGAAACAGGUUAAUAUUCCUGUACUUGGUGUUACUGCGAAGGGGGGACGGAGAAGGCUAUGUUGGCCGGGCGACGGUUGUCCCGGUUUAAGCGUGUAGGUGUGUGUUCCAGGUAAAUCCGGUUCACUUUAACACUGAGGCGUGACGACGAGGCACUACGGUGCUGAAGCAACAAAUGCCCUGCUUCCAGGAAAAGCCUCUAAGCAUCAGGUAACAUCAAAUCGUACCCCAAACCGACACAGGUGGUCAGGUAGAGAAUACCAAGGCGCUUGAGAGAACUCGGGUGAAGGAACUAGGCAAAAUGGUGCCGUAACUUCGGGAGAAGGCACGCUGACACGUAGGUGAAGUGAUUUACUCAUGGAGCUGAAGUCAGUCGAAGAUACCAGCUGGCUGCAACUGUUUAUUAAAAACACAGCACUGUGCAAACACGAAAGUGGACGUAUACGGUGUGACGCCUGCCCGGUGCCGGAAGGUUAAUUGAUGGGGUCAGCGCAAGCGAAGCUCCUGAUCGAAGCCCCGGUAAACGGCGGCCGUAACUAUAACGGUCCUAAGGUAGCGAAAUUCCUUGUCGGGUAAGUUCCGACCUGCACGAAUGGCGUAAUGAUGGCCAGGCUGUCUCCACCCGAGACUCAGUGAAAUUGAACUCGCUGUGAAGAUGCAGUGUACCCGCGGCAAGACGGAAAGACCCCGUGAACCUUUACUAUAGCUUGACACUGAACAUUGAGCCUUGAUGUGUAGGAUAGGUGGGAGGCUUUGAAGCGUGGACGCCAGUCUGCGUGGAGCCGACCUUGAAAUACCACCCUUUAAUGUUUGAUGUUCUAACGUGGACCCGUAAUCCGGGUUGCGGACAGUGUCUGGUGGGUAGUUUGACUGGGGCGGUCUCCUCCUAAAGAGUAACGGAGGAGCACGAAGGUUGGCUAAUCCUGGUCGGACAUCAGGAGGUUAGUGCAAUGGCAUAAGCCAGCUUGACUGCGAGCGUGACGGCGCGAGCAGGUGCGAAAGCAGGUCAUAGUGAUCCGGUGGUUCUGAAUGGAAGGGCCAUCGCUCAACGGAUAAAAGGUACUCCGGGGAUAACAGGCUGAUACCGCCCAAGAGUUCAUAUCGACGGCGGUGUUUGGCACCUCGAUGUCGGCUCAUCACAUCCUGGGGCUGAAGUAGGUCCCAAGGGUAUGGCUGUUCGCCAUUUAAAGUGGUACGCGAGCUGGGUUUAGAACGUCGUGAGACAGUUCGGUCCCUAUCUGCCGUGGGCGCUGGAGAACUGAGGGGGGCUGCUCCUAGUACGAGAGGACCGGAGUGGACGCAUCACUGGUGUUCGGGUUGUCAUGCCAAUGGCACUGCCCGGUAGCUAAAUGCGGAAGAGAUAAGUGCUGAAAGCAUCUAAGCACGAAACUUGCCCCGAGAUGAGUUCUCCCUGAGACUUAGAGUCUCCUGAAGGAACGUUGAAGACGACGACGUUGAUAGGCCGGGUGUGUAAGCGCAGCGAUGCGUUGAGCUAACCGGUACUAAUGAACCGUGAGGCUUAACCUUACAACGCCGAAG